CUCAGGCCCUUGCGGCCUGAGCAGGUACUUAUUCACUUGGCUUCGCACUUUCAAUUGUCAUUAGAUCGAUCUCUUUCUCUCCUUCAAUGGGAAAUAACAACCAUGAUUUUAGUCCCUUCUUAUUUCCCUCUACAACCCCUUUUGUUCCAUUUUCUGGUUCUUCUUCUUUUUCUUCUUCUUAUUCACUAUCACCGUAUUCUCCAUCGUCUCCAAGUCUAAAUUCCCCUUCUGAAUCUUACCCAAGUCUUCCCCCCCAUCCUGCCCAAUCUUCUUCAAGUUCUUUCAAUCCUUCUGAUGAUGCUGGUAAUCUUGGACCAUGCGCUGCCUGCAAAAUCCACGGUCGGCAAUGCACUGACAAGUGUUAUGUAGCUUCCUACUUACC
rnacentral:misc_RNA from 1 species